rnacentral:rRNA from 1 species
CCUACGGGUGGCAGCAGUGGGGAAUAUUGCGCAAUGGGCGAAAGCCUGACGCAGCGACGCCGCGUGAGGGAUGAAGGUCUUCGGAUCGUAAACCUCUGUCAGCAGGGAAGAACGGUCCCUGUGCUAAUCAGCAGUGCAUUGACGGUACCUACAAAGGAAGCACCGGCUAACUCCGUGCCAGCAGCCGCGGUAAUACGGAGGGUGCGAGCGUUAACCGGAAUUACUGGGCGGAAAGGGCUCGUAGGCGGUAUGUCAAGUCAAGGGUGAAAUCCCCGCGCUCAACGUGGGAACUGCCGUUGAAACUGGCAAACAGGAGUGUGUGAGAGUAGAGUGGAAUUCCAGGUGUAGGAGUGAAAUCCGUAGAUAUAAGGAGGAACAUCAGUGGCGAAGGCGACUAGCUGGAACGUAACUGACGCUGAGGAGCGAAAGCGUGGGGAGCAAACAGGAUUAGAUACCCGAGUAGUC